GGGUAUGGGGAAGGUACUAGCAUGGCGAGUCAUUGUAGCAAUACAAGGCAGACGGCUCAGUAACGCGUAGUCAACCUAACCUAUGGACGGGAAUAAUCUCGGGAAACUGAGAAUAAUGCCCGAUAGAACACCAUAUCUGGAACGGUUUGUGUUCCAAAUGAUUUAUCGCCAUAGGAUGGGACUGCGGCCUAUCAGUUUGUUGGUGAGGUAAUGGCCCACCAAGACUAUUACAGGUACGGGCUCUGAGAGGAGUAGCCCGGAGAUGGGUACUGAGACACGGACCCAGGCCCUAUGGGGCGCAGCAGGCGAGAAAACUUUGCAAUGUGCGAAAGCACGACAAGGUUAAUCCGAGUGGUUUCUGCUAAAGGAACCUUUUGUCGGUCCUAGAAACACCGAUGAAUAAGGGGUGGGCAAGUUCUGGUGUCAGCCGCCGCGGUAAAACCAGCACCUCAAGUGGUCAGGAUGAUUAUUGGGCCUAAAGCAUCCGUAGCCGGCUCUGUAAGUUUUCGGUUAAAUCUGUACGCUUAACGUACAGGCUGCCGGGAAUACUGCAUAGCUAGGGAGUGGGAGAGGUAGACGGUACUCGGUAGGAAGGGGUAAAAUCCUUUGAUCUAUUGAUGACCACCUGUGGCGAAGGCGGUCUACCAGAACACGUCCGACGGUGAGGGAUGAAAGCUGGGGGAGCAAACCGGAUUAGAUACCCGGGUAGUCCCAGCUGUAAACUAUGCAAACUCAGUGAUGCAUUGGCUUGUGGCCAAUGCAGUGCUGCAGGGAAGCCGUUAAGUUUGCCGCCUGGGAAGUACGUACGCAAGUAUGAAACUUAAAGGAAUUGGCGGGGGAGCACCACAAGGGGUGAAGCCUGCGGUUCAAUUGGAGUCAACGCCGGG
rnacentral:rRNA from 1 species